AUGACGUUGCUGUGUGUGGUUGUGGGUGGUGCGUUUGGUGGUGGUGGUGCGGCCUGCUUAGGACCGAGGGUGGUGUUUCUUCUUCAGGUGUUUCUCUUCGGCUGUCCUACAUGUGGUCUUCGGCCUGCUUCUAUGCAUGCUCAUGACCCUGUUCUGUUGAGGCGAGCCUUGGGCUCUUGGUCUCGUCUUGGUUCACCUUUGCUCAGUGACGAAGCAAUGACGCCUCCCCGCCUUGCUAAUCGUCUUGAGCUUCCGUGGCGGAGCACUCAGUCAAGGUUCGUGUUAAGCUUUGGCACAAGGUUUGUGUUAAGUUUUGGCACUCGUUGA
rnacentral:rRNA from 1 species